UUAAGCGACUAAGCGUACACGGUGGAUGCCCUGGCAGUCAGAGGCGAUGAAGGACGUGCUAAUCUGCGAAAAGCGUCGGUAAGGUGAUAUGAACCGUUAUAACCGGCGAUGUCCGAAUGGGGAAACCCAGUGCAAUUCGUUGCACUAUCGUUAACUGAAUACAUAGGUUAACGAGGCGAACCGGGGGAACUGAAACAUCUAAGUACCCCGAGGAAAAGAAAUCAACCGAGAUUCCCCCAGUAGCGGCGAGCGAACGGGGAGCAGCCCAGAGUCUGAAUCAGCUUGUGUGUUAGUGGAACGGUCUGGAAAGUCCGACGGUACAGGGUGAUAGUCCCGUACACCAAAAUGCACAGGCUGUGAACUCGAAGAGUAGGGCGGGACACGUGGUAUCCUGUCUGAAUAUGGGGGGACCAUCCUCCAAGGCUAAAUACUCCUGACUGACCGAUAGUGAACCAGUACCGUGAGGGAAAGGCGAAAAGAACCCCGGCGAGGGGAGUGAAAAAGAACCUGAAACCGUGUACGUACAAGCAGUGGGAGCACCUUCGGGUGUGACUGCGUACCUUUUGUAUAAUGGGUCAGCGACUUAUAUUCUGUAGCAAGGUUAACCGUAUAGGGGAGCCGCAGGGAAACCGAGUCUUAACUGGGCGUUAAGUUGCAGGGUAUAGACCCGAAACCCGGUGAUCUAGCCAUGGGCAGGUUGAAGGUUGGGUAACACUAACUGGAGGACCGAACCGACUAAUGUUGAAAAAUUAGCGGAUGACUUGUGGCUGGGGGUGAAAGGCCAAUCAAACCGGGAGAUAGCUGGUUCUCCCCGAAAGCUAUUUAGGUAGCGCCUCGUGAACUCAUCUUCGGGGGUAGAGCACUGUUUCGGCUAGGGGGUCAUCCCGACUUACCAACCCGAUGCAAACUACGAAUACCGAAGAAUGUUAUCACGGGAGACACACGGCGGGUGCUAACGUCCGUCGUGAAGAGGGAAACAACCCAGACCGCCAGCUAAGGUCCCAAAGUCAUGGUUAAGUGGGAAACGAUGUGGGAAGGCACAGACAGCCAGGAUGUUGGCUUAGAAGCAGCCAUCAUUUAAAGAAAGCGUAAUAGCUCACUGGUCGAGUCGGCCUGCGCGGAAGAUGUAACGGGGCUAAACCAUGCACCGAAGCUGCGGCAGCGACACUAUGUGUUGUUGGGUAGGGGAGCGUUCUGUAAGCCUGCGAAGGUGACCUGUGAGGGUUGCUGGAGGUAUCAGAAGUGCGAAUGCUGACAUAAGUAACGAUAAAGCGGGUGAAAAGCCCGCUCGCCGGAAGACCAAGGGUUCCUGUCCAACGUUAAUCGGGGCAGGGUGAGUCGACCCCUAAGGCGAGGCCGAAAGGCGUAGUCGAUGGGAAACAGGUUAAUAUUCCUGUACUUGGUGUUACUGCGAAGGGGGGACGGAGAAGGCUAUGUUAGCCGGGCGACGGUUGUCCCGGUUUAAGCAUGUAGGCUGGUUAUCCAGGCAAAUCCGGAUAAUCAAGGCUGAGGUGUGAUGACGAGGCACUACGGUGCUGAAGUAACAAAUGCCCUGCUUCCAGGAAAAGCCUCUAAGCAUCAGGUAACAUCAAAUCGUACCCCAAACCGACACAGGUGGUCAGGUAGAGAAUACCAAGGCGCUUGAGAGAACUCGGGUGAAGGAACUAGGCAAAAUGGUGCCGUAACUUCGGGAGAAGGCACGCUGGUGUGUAGGUGAAGUCCCUGCGGAUGGAGCUGAGACCAGUCGAAGAUACCAGCUGGCUGCAACUGUUUAUUAAAAACACAGCACUGUGCAAACACGAAAGUGGACGUAUACGGUGUGACGCCUGCCCGGUGCCGGAAGGUUAAUUGAUGGGGUUAUCCGUAAGGAGAAGCUCUUGAUCGAAGCCCCGGUAAACGGCGGCCGUAACUAUAACGGUCCUAAGGUAGCGAAAUUCCUUGUCGGGUAAGUUCCGACCUGCACGAAUGGCGUAAUGAUGGCCAGGCUGUCUCCACCCGAGACUCAGUGAAAUUGAACUCGCUGUGAAGAUGCAGUGUACCCGCGGCAAGACGGAAAGACCCCGUGAACCUUUACUAUAGCUUGACACUGAACAUUGAGCCUUGAUGUGUAGGAUAGGUGGGAGGCUUUGAAGCGUGGACGCCAGUCUGCGUGGAGCCAACCUUGAAAUACCACCCUUUAAUGUUUGAUGUUCUAACGUUGGCCCCUGACCGGGGUUGCGGACAGUGUCUGGUGGGUAGUUUGACUGGGGCGGUCUCCUCCCAAAGCGUAACGGAGGAGCACGAAGGUUAGCUAAUCCUGGUCGGACAUCAGGAGGUUAGUGCAAUGGCAUAAGCUAGCUUGACUGCGAGCGUGACGGCGCGAGCAGGUGCGAAAGCAGGUCAUAGUGAUCCGGUGGUUCUGAAUGGAAGGGCCAUCGCUCAACGGAUAAAAGGUACUCCGGGGAUAACAGGCUGAUACCGCCCAAGAGUUCAUAUCGACGGCGGUGUUUGGCACCUCGAUGUCGGCUCAUCACAUCCUGGGGCUGAAGUAGGUCCCAAGGGUAUGGCUGUUCGCCAUUUAAAGUGGUACGCGAGCUGGGUUUAGAACGUCGUGAGACAGUUCGGUCCCUAUCUGCCGUGGGCGCUGGAGAAUUGAGGGGGGCUGCUCCUAGUACGAGAGGACCGGAGUGGACGCAUCACUGGUGUUCGGGUUGUCAUGCCAAUGGCACUGCCCGGUAGCUAAAUGCGGAAGAGAUAAGUGCUGAAAGCAUCUAAGCACGAAACUUGCCCCGAGAUGAGUUCUCCCUGAGACUUUAAGUCUCCUGAAGGAACGUUGAAGACGACGACGUUGAUAGGCCGGGUGUGUAAGCGCAGCGAUGCGUUGAGCUAACCGGUACUAAUGAACCGUGAGGCUUAACCUU
rnacentral:rRNA from 2 species